rnacentral:rRNA from 1 species
CCUACGGGCGGCAGCAGUGAGGAAUAUUGGUCAAUGGACGAGAGUCUGAACCAGCCAAGUAGCGUGAAGGAUGACUGCCCUAUGGGUUGUAACCUUCUUUUAUAUGGGAAUAAAAUGUUCCACGUGUGGGAUUUUGUAUGUACCAUAUGAAUAAGGAUCGGCUAACUCCGUGCCAGCAGCCGCGGUAAUACGGAGGUUCCGAGCGUUAUCCGGAUUUAUUGGGGUUAAAGGGAGCGUAGGUGGAUUGUUAAGUCAGUUGUGAAAGUUUGCGGCUUAACCGUAAAAUUGCAGUUGAAACUGGCAGUCUUGAGUACAGUAGAGGUAGGCGGAAUUCGUGGUGUAGCGGUGAAAUGCUUAGAGAUCACGAAGAACUCCGAUUGCGAAGGCAGCGCACUGGACUGCAACUGACACUGAGGCUCGAAAGUGUGGGUAUCAAACAGGAUUAGAUACCCCAGUAGUC